AAGAACCCUUAAGCCCCCUACACAUGAUAAGCGAUUUGCUCUCUGCGCACUGCUAGGUAGGACAGACAGCAAAGUGCAGAGAGAAAUGCGCAGGUUAA